AAACCCCAACUGGAAGUUGAGGUAGGCUCAGUAGAUGCGAUCGUUAAUGAGCCUUUCCGGCGUUAUCACAUCCACUUGCCUUCCUCGCCUUUCUUCAAGGUUUAACAUUGUCUU
rnacentral:pre_miRNA from 16 species